AGAUUGAACGCUGGCGGCAUGCCUAACACAUGCAAGUCGAACGGGAGUAGCAAUACUCUAGUGGCGGACGGGUGAGGAAUACGUAGGAAUUUGCCCUUAAGUGGGGGAUAACCCGGGGAAACCCGGAUUAAUACCGCAGUGACCUCGAAAGAGCAAAGUGGGGGAUCGCAAGACCUCACGCUUUUGGAGAAGCCUACGUCGGAUUAGCUAGUUGGUGAGGUAAUGGCUCACCAAGGCGACGAUCCGUAACUGGUCUGAGAGGAUGAUCAGUCACACCGGGAACUGAGACACGGUCCGGACU
rnacentral:rRNA from 1 species